UCCUUUGUCUCCAAAGCUUCUAGAACGUUCUCCCACUCCCAUCUCAUCACUUCUUCUCGUACAGUCGCGGUGAGCGCGAGUAAGUCCGAGCGAACCGUAUAAGAGUUACAGUGCGUACCCAUUAGUAUCGUAAUACGAAUUUUCAACGGUUUUCCGAGUAAAUCGCUACAUUGUAAGAAGGAAGGAAGCCUACCUCGAACCAUUCGAAUUACGAUUAGUUAUACAAAAGAAAAUUAUUGAAUUCAUGGCGAAAUGAAAAAAAUCAAAUGAUUUCGAGGACAUUUGACGACGAAGCCGGCGUUAUUGCCGACCGAAAUGAAAAUACACGACGACGGCGGCGCAACUUUUCUCAUUCAGCUGACUGAUGCCCGCUGAGUGGCUUCCUGGUGAGUGGAGAGCGCAUUGCAGUUCGCUGCCACGAUUGUCACCGUUGUCUGCAUGUAUAUUCGUGAAACUUUCCAAUUCGUACAGGACUCCAGCUCACCGUCACCGCGGCGAAUGCAUUUACCUGAAGAUUUCUGUUUAAUCUUCUUCUUUUUCCCCCAGAUGAUUGUAUCCUUUCCAGCAACGCACUGUUUACCGCAGUGCACUUCAUACGAGCUCGUUUCUCAUUACAUCCUCCCCACAGGGAUGGAGAGCCUGGCCUCUUCUAGGGUGUCAGGCGUGAACUUUUCAUAUAUUUUGACAGAUAUGUAGCCUGUUCGUUUAUAAAGUAACGAUAGUGAGAGGAUUGGAAAUUUUUGUUAGAUAUUACUAUGAAAAUAGUAGAAGUUAUAGGGGAAUUACAAACGUGUAGAUUUACAAAUUUGCAUCAAUGAAAUGAUUAUUAAUCAUAUUUUUGCUAGUUAUGUAGCCUAUAGUUCCUGUUUUACUAUAACGAACGAGUAAACAGUUUUAUCUGGAUUGGAUAAAAAUAGUAGGAGUUGUAGGGAAACCACAAACGUACAGAUGUAUAACAGAAGUUAAAGCAUAGCUUGGUAUAAUAUAGUAAAAAUUAUAGCAAAGUCACUAACACGUAGUCAUCGAAUUUUGUAUUAAUAAUGCUCUACUUUCUCGCUCCAAUUUUAUAUUAAUAAUGCUCUACUUUUUCUAAGUUAUACAUCGACAUUGAAAAUGCUGAUGAUAUCGAAAUGUGUUAUUGUUUAUAUAAAAUGUAUUCAGAUAGGGUUUAGAAUGAAUCCCUAAAUUUAAAUUUAAAUCUAUUGAAGGGUCCAUGAGGGUUUAAAAAUUGUUCCUAGCGUAUCCAUCGAACAGCUAACGCUGCAAACAAAUUUCCAUCUCAAACCAUUUAUAUUUUAUUAACCAACAAAGUGGUCUAAAGCCCCUAUUCAGGAACCCUAUACCAUGUACAACAGGAUUGUCUUCGAUAAUUCUAGUUAAUACUGCAGCAACCCUCAGCCUUCAGCCAGUGCAUCGAUUAGAAAUUGUUCCCAAUGUAUUCAUCGAACAGCCAACGCUACAAACAAAUUUCCGUCGCACACCAGUUAUGUUUUAUUAACAAACAAAGUCUUGAAACUCCCGUUGGAAAACCCUUUAGUAUACUACUGUGAUUAAAAAAUGGUAAGACUUAUUUAUCUUUUGUUUUUGUUAGGUUGGUAGCACUAAAAAGGUGAUUUCGGCGAUUAUCAGAAUGUGUGAAAUAAUUCAGCAAAGACUUUGUAUUAAAUUUUGCUACAAAAAUAGAAUUUUUUGUUUAAAAAAAAAAGGGGUCGUUGGAGACAAUACAUUGUCAAGAGCAAUUAUUCAGACAAGACCAAAUAUUUCAGGCAGACAUUAAAAAUCGACUUUCUCAGAAACGAAGAAACUUUUAUUCGAUAUUUUCGAUUACUUUUUUCGUAAAUAAUUUACACAAUCAGGUGAUUUGAUAACUGAGCAUCGUAGAACGAAGGAAAGCUCCAAUUACGGUGUUUAGUUUUAUCGUUUCGAUUCCCAUCGCUGGUAAACGGACAAAAGGGAUAUUCGCCGUAGUCACUCGAAGUGGAUUCAAUUAUAUCAACAAAGAAGUUUCCUUGGGUGGGCAUUCGCGAAAUUACCGUCGGGACUGUCGAGAAAUCGCAUUCAGUUUCGAGAGUUUGCGGAAACGAGCCGCGAGAAGUAGCGGCCCCGUCGAUCAAGGGCGAAACUUUACGACCGAUUCGAAUGCACGCUUGAGAAAAAGUUCUUGGACGAGUUUCGCGUGCCUCGAGCGCAUCGUGCGCGAAACGUUCGUGGCCGAGCGUUUAACACGCUGAAAAGCGCCUGCGGCACGAUGAAACACACCGCAUGCAUUAGUGAUCGUCGGAUAACGUUUCCAGUUUAGGGUUUGAAUAAUGUUCUUGGAAGUGUUAUCUUUUUUAGGAUUGAAAAUCUUUUUAUUUUCGAACAGCCGAAAUUCAUGUCACGUUAUGUGGUGAAAAAUGCUGCGAGGCCAUGAAAUGGGUGGGUAGUAACAGAAUAAAUAUGUUCUGUUACACAGCUUGUCGUGAGAUAUUUUUUUAUAUUUUAAUAUCUAGUGAUUGGAACAAUUAAAACUUAAUCCGAAAUAAUUAAACGUUUAUGAUACAUACAGUCAAUAUUUUAAUAUCUACUGAUUGCACCAACUAAAUAUUAAUUUCUGACAAUAGUUCAAUUAAUUAUUAACAAUACUUAUUAUUUAAACAAUAAUGGGAAAUAUGAUUAUGGUGUGGUAUUAAUGUUUCGUAAAUUCUUUUGUGGAUGGAUCC